AUUUAGAGUUCUCAUUACAGCAUGUACUAUAUAAGAUACCGUUCCGCUCCUCCGUCACAUCAGUAUUGGACACAAUAAGAUAAAGAUGUUGAAAGAGGUUAUUAUCCUGUGCUUCAUGGUCGCAAUCGCUAGUGCGAGCACUUGCCGGAACUGUCAAGUAGGCAGGAAGCUGUACAGAGGCAACUACCGAUUUAGCUUCGACAGAGCAUGCUAUCGUUACAGAUGCCAAUGUAGCUGUGACGGUUCCUACCGCUGUCCAUCCUAUUUAACCCAAAACAUCUGCGGAGGCGGUCAGCGGCCAUGCAGAAACUGUAAAGUUUAUGGGAGAGAAUUUCAGCGUGGGAGUUUCCAGUUUGACAAAAUGUGUACAAGAUAUGAUUGCAACUGUAAUUGUGACGGAUCAUGGAAUUGCCCUGCAGAGAAAAGCAAUCGUAUUUGUUGACCAUUUUACUGAAAAAGCUACUUUUAAAACUAUUGCUGUUUGAAUAAACGAAAUAACACUUCC